CGAUGCUGGUCGAGCAGGAGGCCGGCGCGUGUGCCUUCUACGUGCUCGUCGCUGAGGACGGCUCCGUACUCGGCAGGUUCAACCUGUACAACAUCGAC
rnacentral:tRNA from 1 species